GCCGAAGUGGCGGAAUUGGCAGACGCGCGUGGUUCAGGACCACGUGGGCAUUAGCCCGUGGAGGUUCGAGUCCUCUCUUCGGCA
rnacentral:tRNA from 1 species